GAGCGAAACCACCCCGGUGAAGCCGGGAUGGUCUGCCCAGCGUGGUUGCUGGGUACUGAUGAGCAGCCGAGG
rnacentral:hammerhead_ribozyme from 1 species